rnacentral:snRNA from 1 species
AUCCUAGUGCAAGGGUCUUACACGUAUCAGUGAGGAAAUAUCCGAGAUCGUGUUUUUGCUGGUUGAAAACUACCACCUUGACCACUUCAAGUGGGCUCAUCGCCUGCUUGGGAAUUUUUGAAGCUACAUUGCCUUA